rnacentral:rRNA from 1 species
GUGGGGAAUAUUGGACAAUGGGCGCAAGCCUGAUCCAGCCAUGCCGCGUGUGUGAAGAAGGCCUUCGGGUUGUAAAGCACUUUUGUCCGGGAAGAAAUCUUCCAGGUUAAUACCCUGGGAGGCUGACGGUACCGGAAGAAUAAGCACCGGCUAACUUCGUGCCAGCAGCCGCGGUAAUACGAAGGGUGCAAGCGUUACUCGGAAUUACUGGGCGUAAAGCGUGCGUAGGUGGUUCGUUAAGUCUGCCGUGAAAGCCCCGGGCUCAACCUGGGAAUGGCGGUGGAUACUGGCGGGCUAGAGUGCGGUAGAGGGUGGUGGAAUUCCCGGUGUAGCAGUGAAAUGCGUAGAGAUCGGGAGGAACAUCUGUGGCGAAGGCGGCCACCUGGACCAGCACUAACACUGAGGCACGAAAGCGUGGGGAGCAAACAGGAUUAGAAACCCGGGUAGUCC